AACGCACAUUGCGCCCCCUGGUAUUCCGGGGGGCAUGCCUGUUCGAGCGUCAUUUCACCACUCAAGCCUCGCUUGGUAUUGGGCGACGCGGUCCGCCGCGCGCCUCAAAUCGACCGGCUGGGUCUUCUGUCCCCUCAGCGUUGUGGAAACUAUUCGCUAAAGGGUGCCACGGGAGGCCACGCCGAAAAACAAACCCAUUUCUAAGGUUGACCUCGGAUCAGGUAGGGAUACCCGCUGAACUUAA
rnacentral:misc_RNA from 3 species